rnacentral:rRNA from 1 species
UACGUAGGGUGCAAGCGUUAAUCGGAAUUACUGGGCGUAAAGCGUGCGCAGGCGGUUUUGUAAGCUGUCGUGAAAUCCCCGGGCUUAACCUGGGAAUGGCGAUGGUGACUGCAAGGCUGGAGUUUGGCAGAGGGGGGUAGAAUUCCACGUGUAGCAGUGAAAUGCGUAGAGAUGUGGAGGAACACCGAUGGCGAAGGCAGCCCCCUGGGUCAAAACUGACGCUCAUGCACGAAAGCGUGGGGAGCAAACAGG